rnacentral:rRNA from 1 species
ACAGUGGACGCGAGCAUCUGUGGCCAAGUUUUUAAGGGCGCACGGUGGAUGCCUUGGCACCAGGAACCGAUGAAGGACGUGGGAGGCCACGAUAGUCCCCGGGGAGCUGUCAACCAAGCUUUGAUCCGGGGGUUUCCGAAUGGGGAAACCCGGCAGUCGUCAUGGGCUGUCACCCGCUGCUGAACACAUAGGCAGUGUGGAGGGAACGAGGGGAAGUGAAACAUCUCAGUACCCUCAGGAAGAGAAAACAACCGUGAUUCCGGGAGUAGUGGCGAGCGAAACUGGAUGAGGCCAAACCGUAUGCGUGUGAUACCCGGCAGGGGUUGCGCAUGCGGGGUUGUGGGAUCUCUCUUUCAUAGUCUGCCGGCUGUGAGACGAGUCAGAAACCGUUGAUGUAGGCGAAGGACAUGCGAAAGGUCCGGCGUAGAGGGUAAGACCCCCGUAGCUGAAACAUUGACGGCUCGUUUGAGAGACACCCAAGUAGCACGGGGCCCGAGAAAUCCCGUGUGAAUCUGGCGGGACCACCCGCUAAGCCUAAAUAUUCCCUGGUGACCGAUAGCGGAUAGUACCGUGAGGGAAUGGUGAAAAGUACCGCGGGAGCGGAGUGAAAUAGUACCUGAAACCGUGUGCCUACAAGCCGUGGGAGCGUCGCUGGCAGCACUUGUGCUGUCAGUCGUGACUGCGUGCCUUUUGAAGAAUGAGCCUGCGAGUUAGCGGUGUGUAGCGAGGUUAACCCGUGUGGGGAAGCCGUAGCGAAAGCGAGUCCGAACAGGGCGGUUGAGUUGCACGCUCUAGACCCGAAGCGGAGUGAUCUAGCCAUGGGCAGGUUGAAGCGGAGGUAAGACUUCGUGGAGGACCGAACCCACCAGGGUUGAAAACCUGGGGGAUGACCUGUGGUUAGGGGUGAAAGGCCAAUCAAACUCCGUGAUAGCUGGUUCUCCCCGAAAUGCAUUUAGGUGCAGCGUCGUGUGUUUCUUGCCGGAGGUAGAGCACUGGAUAGGCGAUGGGCCCUACCGGGUUACUGACCUUAGCCAAACUCCGAAUGCCGGUAAGUGAGAGCACGGCAGUGAGACUGUGGGGGAUAAGCUCCAUGGUCGAGAGGGAAACAGCCCAGAGCAUCGACUAAGGCCCCUAAGCGUACGCUAAGUGGGAAAGGAUGUGGAGUCGCAGAGACAACCAGGAGGUUGGCUUAGAAGCAGCCACCCUUGAAAGAGUGCGUAAUAGCUCACUGGUCAAGUGAUUCCGCGCCGACAAUGUAGCGGGGCUCAAGCGUACCGCCGAAGUCGUGUCAUUCACACAUAUAGGGUCAACGCCCGUGUGGAUGGGUAGGGGAGCGUCGUGUGCCGGGUGAAGCAGCCGCGGAAGCGAGUUGUGGACGGUUCACGAGUGAGAAUGCAGGCAUGAGUAGCGAUACACACGUGAGAAACGUGUGCGCCGAUUGACUAAGGGUUCCUGGGUCAAGCUGAUCUGCCCAGGGUAAGUCGGGACCUAAGGCGAGGCCGACAGGCGUAGUCGAUGGACAACCGGUUGAUAUUCCGGUACCCGCUUUGAAACGCCCAGUACUGAAUCAGGCGAUGCUAAGUCCGUGAAGCCGGCCCGAUCUCUUCGGAGUUGAGGGUAGUGGUGGAGCCGAUGAACCAGACUUGUAGUAGGUAAGCGAUGGGGUGACGCAGGAAGGUAGUCCAGCCCGGGCGGUGGUUGUCCCGGGGUAAGGGUGUAGGACGCACGGUAGGCAAAUCCGUCGUGCAUAUAAGUCUGAGACCUGAUGCCGAGCCGAUUGUGGUGAAGUGGAUGAUCCUAUGCUGUCGAGAAAAGCCUCUAGCGAGUUUCAUGGCGGCCCGUACCCUAAACCGACUCAGGUGGUCAGGUAGAGAAUACCGAGGCGUUCGGGUGAACUAUGGUUAAGGAACUCGGCAAAAUGCCCCCGUAACUUCGGGAGAAGGGGGGCCAUUCCUGGUGAUAGCACUUGCUGCUUGAGCUGGGGGUGGCCGCAGAGACCAGCGAGAAGCGACUGUUUACUAAAAACACAGGUCCGUGCGAAGCCGUAAGGCGAUGUAUACGGACUGACGCCUGCCCGGUGCUGGAACGUUAAGGGGACCGGUUAGCUGCUUUUCGGAGUGGCGAAGCUGAGAACUUAAGCGCCAGUAAACGGCGGUGGUAACUAUAACCAUCCUAAGGUAGCGAAAUUCCUUGUCGGGUAAGUUCCGACCUGCACGAAUGGCGUAACGACUUCUCGACUGUCUCAACCAUAGGCCCGGUGAAAUUGCACUACGAGUAAAGAUGCUCGUUUCGCGCAGCAGGACGGAAAGACCCCGGGACCUUUACUAUAGUUUGAUAUUGGUGUUCGGUUCGGCUUGUGUA